rnacentral:rRNA from 1 species
CGUAACACGUGAGCAACCUGCCUAGGUGUGGGGGAUAGCCGGCCCAACGGCCGGGUAAUACCGCAUACGCUCAACACGAGGCAUUUCGAGUUGAGGAAACCUUCGGGGCACUAUGAGGGGCUCGCGGCCUAUCAGCUAGUUGGUGAGGUAAUGGCUCACCAAGGCUACGACGGGUAGCUGGUCUGAGAGGAUGAUCAGCCACACUGGGACUGAGACACGGCCCAG